AGCCCUGAGCUAAUAUCCGUUGCCAAUCCUCCUCUUUUUGAUGGGGAAGAUUGGCCCUAGGCUAACAUCUGUGCCCAUCUUCCUCUACUUUAUAUGGGACGCCACCACAGCAUGGCUUGACAAUCGGUGCAUCGGUGCGUGCCUGGGAUCCGAACCUGUGAACCCCAGACCACCGAAGCAGAGCAUGCGCACUCAACCACUACACCACUGGGCUGGCCCCAAGAUUCAUAUAUUUUGAUGGACUAUAAGCAUUUGGAAUACAUCAUCUCACUGCUCUGUGGUCUCAAAGUUUCUGAUGAGAAAUCUGCUGAUAAUCUUACUGAGGAUCUCAUAAGCUUCAUGGACCCUCAAAGCACAUCCAGACCUCAAGUUGCAAAACUCUGCUCUAUCAGAAAAAUCCAAAACAUGGAGAAAUCUAUAGGAUAACUGAUUCAGUGUCUUCAACAAAUCAAUGGCGCAAAAAAACUGAGGAGAGUGUAAAUGUUUAAGAGUCUUAGGAAGCAUAACAAUCAAAUGCUGCAUAUAGACCUUGUUUGAAGUCUGAUUCAAGCAAAUUAAGUAUAAAAAGGGCUUUUGGGGGGACAACCAGGGAAAUUUGCAUAGAGUAUUGGAUGAUAUUAAGGAAUUAUUAUUUUGUUAGAUGUGAAAAUCAGUAUGUGAGAUUUUAUUUUUUAGAGAUGAGUUUCAAAGUAUUUAGGGUUGAAAUAUGAUGUCUGGGAUUUAUUUUAAAAUACCUCAUCAAAGAAAAAAACAGAUGAAGCAUUUAUGCAAGAUGUUUAUAAUUAAAUCUAGGUGAUGGGGAUUUGGGAGUUCAUUAUCAUACUUUCUUCUACUUUUGUGAUUGAAAUUUUUCAUACUGAGGAGAAAAUACAAACAAGUCCUGCUCUCUGCCUUUCUGGCAAAGAUAAGAGGAUAUCAGGGUUGUCACAGCCAGUACCAAGGUUUUGAGGCUCCCUGGAGAGCCAUCCAUGGACAGGAACCUGACUCUAGGACCACAACAGUUAGACUAUUUUUUUGUCACUCUGUUUUGUUUGUCUGUUUUUGACCAGAGGACCCACAGAUAUCCUGCAAAAUGAAUUAGAUAGAUAUUGCUAUUCCUUUUCUGGGUCUUUUGAGGAAUUUGUCCCAUUUCAUGUAUGUUGUCAAAUUUAUGGGCAUAGAGUUGUUCAUAGUAGUCUUUAUCCUUUUA